CUCAAUGUUUCAGUCUUUCUGUUAAAGUCAGUAUCAAUAAGUUUUUUUUUUUUAAAGAGUUAUCUCCCUGUACAUGACAGCAGCAUGUAAAUAUAAAUUGAUCAGUGACACCAUUAUAUUUCUGUAGAAACAACUAACAGAAUAAAAUAUGCAUUGUUGAAAU
rnacentral:misc_RNA from 1 species